UGGGGAAUAUUGCACAAUGGGCGCAAGCCUGAUGCAGCAACGCCGCGUGAGGGAUGACGGCCUUCGGGUUGUAAACCUCUUUUAGUAGGGAAGAAGGGCUUCGGCUUGACGGUACCUGCAGAAAAAGCACCGGCUAACUACGUGCCAGCAGCCGCGGUAAUACGUAGGGUGCGAGCGUUGUCCGGAAUUAUUGGGCGUAAAGAGCUCGUAGGCGGUUUGUCACGUCUGCUGUGAAAUCCCGAGGCUCAGCCUCGGGCCUGCAGUGGGUACGGGCAGACUGGAGUGCGGUAGGGGAGAAUGGAAUUCCUGGUGUAGCGGUGGAAUGCGCAGAUAUCAGGAGGAACACCGAUGGCGAAGGCAGUUCUCUGGGCCGUAACUGACGCUGAGGAGCGAAAGCGUGGGGAGCGAACA
rnacentral:rRNA from 1 species